UACGUGAGGCGCAAGCGUUAUCCGGAAUUAUUGGGCGUAAAGGGUGCGUAGGCGGCGCGGUAAGUCGGGUGUGAAAUCUCGGAGCUUAACUCCGAAACUGCAUUCGAUACUGCCGUGCUUGAGGACUGGAGAGGAGACUGGAAUUUACGGUGUAGCGGUGAAAUGCGUAGAUAUCGUAAGGAAGACCAGUGGCGAAGGCGGGUCUCUGGACAGUUCCUGACGCUGAGGCACGAAGGCCAGGGGAGCAAACGGG
rnacentral:rRNA from 1 species